GUCGUAACUUGGGACUGUCGGAACACACAUCAGACAAAAUAUUAUUCAAAAUUCUUACAAAUAAGUUAAAAUUUGUGAAAAUAUUCUAUAACAUUGCAGCACGACGACAAGCCAGAUGUAAAGAACCCAUUUCUUCUAUUUUUGCUCGCUACUAAUUGCAACGGCUAGCCCAGAGAGUUUGUGCGUUCGUCCCACCAAAUUUAUGAUUUGUGUGAUUGCCUGACCAAGGAAAAGGACUCUUGGAUUAUGAUGUCCGUUAGAUCUGCUUUAGCCUGCUCCUCGCGCUUAGCUGCUUUCCUCAUUUCUUGAUCCCGCUGACGGUUCUGCUGCUGCUGCUGGCAAUAAUCCGGCUGUCAAUAC
rnacentral:sRNA from 13 species